rnacentral:rRNA from 1 species
AUUGAACGCUGGCGGCAGGCCUAACACAUGCAAGUCGAACGAGUGGCGGACGGGUGAGUAAUGUCUGGGAAACUGCCCGAUGGAGGGGGAUAACUACUGGAAACGGUAGCUAAUAACGAAUACCAUCGGAUGUGCCCAGGUGGGAUUAGCUAGUAGGUGGGGUAACGGCGCAACUAGGAGACGGUCCCUACCUGGUCUGAGAGGAUGACCAGCCACACGGGAACUGAGACACGGGCCAGACGCCUACGUGAGGCAGCAGUGGGGAAUAUUGCACAAGUGGCGCAAGCCUGAGGCAGCCAUGCCGCGUGUAUGAAGAAGGCCUUCGGGUUGUAAAGUACUUUCAGCGAGGAGGCGUUACUCGCAGAAGAAGCACCGGCUAACUCCGUGCCAGCAGCCGCGGUAAUUC